CAAGUCGAGCGGAAGGGCCUUUCGGGGUACUCGAGCGGCGAACGGGUGAGUAACACGUGAGUAACCUGCCCUCAGCUUUGGGAUAACCAUCGGAAACGGUGGCUAAUACCGAAUAUUCACUUCUCUUCGCAUGUUGGGUUGUGGAAAGUUUUUCGGCUGGGGAUGGGCUCGCGGCCUAUCAGCUUGUUGGUGGGGUGAUGGCCUACCAAGGCUUUGACGGGUAGCCGGCCUGAGAGGGCGACCGGCCACACUGGGACUGAGACACGGCCCAGACUCCUACGGGAGGCAGCAGUGGGAAUAUUGCACAAUGGGCGGAAGCCUGAUGCAGCGACGCCGCGUGAGGGAUGACGGCCUUCGGGUUGUAAACCUCUUUCAGCAGGGACGAAGCGAGAGUGACGGUACCUGCAGAAGAAGCGCCGGCCAACUACGUGCCAGCAGCCGCGGUAAGACGUAGGGCGCGAGCGUUGUCCGGAUUUAUUGGGCGUAAAGAGCUCGUAGGCGGCUUGUUGCGUCGUCCGUGAAAACCUGGGGCUCAACUCCAGGCUUGCGGUCGAUACGGGCAGGCUAGAGUUCGGUAGGGGAGACUGGAAUUCCUGGUGUAGCGGUGAAAUGCGCAGAUAUCAGGAGGAACACCGGUGGCGAAGGCGGGUCUCUGGGCCGAUACUGACGCUGAGGAGCGAAAGCGUGGGGAGCGAACAGGAUUAGAUACCCUGGUAGUCCACGCUGUAAACGUUGGGCGCUAGGUGUGGGGGGCCUCUCCGGUUUCCUGCGCCGUAGCUAACGCAUUAAGCGCCCCGCCU
rnacentral:rRNA from 1 species